rnacentral:rRNA from 1 species
UGGUGGAUUGAUUUGUCUGGUUUAUUCCGUUAACGAGCGAGACCAUUGUGGAGAUGUUAGGGGGGGUGGAGUGUCAACGUGUGACAGGUAAGGUGACUGGAGGGUGGCGGUUCGCCGUCGCCCUCCCACUUGCCUCGAUCUAUUCAUUUCCUCCCACCCCCAACUGUCCAGAUUGCCAACGAAAAGUUGGAUGAGAGUAAUGGCUAGAACA